rnacentral:lncRNA from 1 species
UUUUCCAGUAUGGCAGAGCACCACAGAGUUCCAAUGUAAAGUCCCAAGUCACCUUACUCUCUCUUUCCCAAGCACACAGAUUCUUUCUUUUUGCCAGGCCGUGCUUCCAGGAGAUGGGGGAGGAAUGGCACAGAAAAUUCAAAACUGGCUUUCCCACCCUCUGGAGCGCUUCUUUUCCUGAUACCAUGUUACAACCGGGAGCUAUAUAAUCAACCAUGGAUAAAGACGUUUGAAAUCAAGACCUACAUUUAUAAAUGUCCAGAUGCUGAUCACAGAUGUUAUGUUGGUUUUGUUUCAUAA